rnacentral:rRNA from 1 species
CCUACGGGUGGCUGCAGUGGGGAAUAUUGGGCAAUGGGCGCAAGCCUGACCCAGCAACGCCGCGUGAAGGAAGAAGGCUCUCGGGUUGUAAACUUCUUUUAUCAGGGACGAAACAAGUGACGGUACCUGAUGAAUAAGCCACGGCUAACUACGUGCCAGCAGCCGCGGGAAUCCGUAGGUGGCAAGCGUUAUCCGGAUUUACUGGGUGUAAAGGGCGUGUAGGCGGGAAAGUAAGUCAGAUGUGAAAACCAUGGGCUCAACCUGUGGCCUGCAUUUGAAACUGGUUUUCUUGAGUACAGGAGAGGCAGACGGAAUGCGUGGUGUAGCGGUGAAAUGCGUAGAUAUUAGGAGGAACCCCAGUGGCGAAGGCGGUCUGCUGGACAGCAACUGACGCUGAGGCGCGAAAGCGUGGGGAGCAAACAGGAUUAGAUACCCUUGUAGUC